rnacentral:rRNA from 1 species
ACAUAGCCCGGAGAUGGAUUCUGAGACACGAAUCCAGACCCUACGGGGUGCAGCAGGCGCGAAAACUUCACACUGCAGGAAACUGUGAUGAGGGAACUCCAAGUGUGUGCAUUUUAUGUACACUUUUCUGAACUCUUAAUCGGUUCAGGAAUAAGGGCUGGGAAAGACCGGUGCCAGCCGCCGCGGUAAUACCGGCAGCUCAAGUGGUCGUCGCUUUUAUUGGGCCUAAAACGUCCGUAGCCUGUUUGGUAAAUCUGUGGGUAAAUCAACCAGCUUAACUGGUUGAAUUCUGCAGAGACUGCCAGACUAGGGACCGGGAGAGGUGUGGGGUACUCGAGGGGUAGGGGUAAAAUCCUGUCAUCCUUCGAGGACCACCAGUUGCGAAGGCGCCACACUGGAACGGAUCCGACGGUCAGGGACGAAGCCUAGGGGCACGAACCGGAUUAGAUACCCGGGUAGUCCUAGGUGUAAACGCUGUGAACUUGGUGUCGGGGGUCCGCAAGGGGUCCCCGGUGCCGGAGUGAAGAUGUUAAGUUCACUGCCUGGGGAGUACGGUCGCAAGGCUGAAACUUAAAGGAAUUGGCGGGGGAGCACUGCAACGGGAGGAGCGUGCGGUUUAAUUGGACUCAACGCCGGGA